GGGUAUAGCUCAGUUGGUAGAGCAGCGGUCUCCAAAACCGCGUGCCGUGGGUUCAAGUCCUACUACCC
rnacentral:tRNA from 1 species